AUUGAACGCUGGCGGCAGGCCUAACACAUGCAAGUCGAACGGCAACAGGAAACAGCUUGCUGUUUCGCUGACGAGUGGCGGACGGGUGAGUAAUGUCUGGGAAACUGCCUGAUGGAGGGGGAUAACUACUGGAAACGGUAGCUAAUACCGCAUAACGUCGCAAGACCAAAGAGGGGGACCUUCGGGCCUCUUGCCAUCGGAUGUGCCCAGAUGGGAUUAGCUAGUAGGUGGGGUAACGGCUCACCUAGGCGACGAUCCCUAGCUGGUCUGAGAGGAUGACCAGCCACACUGGAACUGAGACACGGUCCAGACGCCUACGGGAGGCAGCAGUGGGGAAUAAUGGACAAUGGGCGCAAGCCUGAUGCAGCCAUGCCGCGUGUAUGAAGAAGGCCUUCGGGUUGUAAAGUACUUUCAGCGGGGAGGAAGGGAGUAAAGUCAAUACCUUUGCUCAUUGACGUUACCCGCAGAAGAAGCACCGGCUAACUCCGUGCCAGCAGCCGCCGUAA
rnacentral:rRNA from 1 species